UACGGAGGGUGCAAGCGUUAAUCAGAAUUACUGGGCGUAAAGCGUGCGCAGGCGGUUUGUUAAGUCUGUUGUGAAAUCCCCGAGCUCAACUUGGGAAUUGCAAUGGAUACUGGCAGGCUGGAGUAUGGUAGAGGAAGGUGGAAUUCCCGGUGUAGCAGUGAAAUGCGUAGAGAUCGGGAGGAACACCAGUGGCGAAGGCGGCCUUCUGGACCAAUACUGACGCUCAUGCACGAAAGCGUGGGGAGCAAACAGG
rnacentral:rRNA from 1 species